UUGGUUAUUAGUAAAGAAAGAGACGUCCCCUGUUUUGCUGUCUCUCCCCCCACCUAAUUCCUCAUCCGGCCUUCAUUAAUGCGCCUUUCUCCACAACGUGUCAUGUCCCCCAUCUCUUCCUUUCCUCUCGCUUUUACUGUUUUGAUUACCCAAUUACACGCUGUAGGGAAUAAAAAUUUCUCAUUCGAUCAACAUCGGACCAGGCAUCGG
rnacentral:lncRNA from 1 species